rnacentral:snRNA from 1 species
UGUCAAGGCAUCAUGUGAGAUAG